rnacentral:lncRNA from 1 species
UGCCUCAGCACCAGAAGGAGUGCAUGGGUCUGUGUCAGCAUUGGGUGCUUUAUGGGGUGAGCAAACACGAAGUAUUCCCUUUAGAAAAGAAUGUACGAAGAGUGGUGGAAAAAUAGGAAUAAUUUCCUUCAACCUAAUCAUCCCAAACUCAAACAAAACAACCCUCGCAUUCUCCGGCACUAAGGUGCUCCCUGGCAAGGGAAGUCAAGAGCGGAACAGAAGGUACAGAUAGAAUUUAUACCUCAUGGGGCCCACGACAGACCCAGCCAUGCCUGGGAGGAAGGCUGUGAAUGCAGCAAAGUCCUGAAACCCAAGAAAAUGCCUUC